AUCGCUUCUUGGCCUUUUGGCUAAGAUCAAGUGUAGUAUCUGACUAUGUGAAUUUUUUCUGGACUGCAGCAAAGUGGAGCCUGA
rnacentral:snRNA from 1 species